GGGGAAUAUUGCACAAUGGGGGAAACCCUGAUGCAGCGACGCCGCGUGAGUGACGAAGUAUUUCGGUAUGUAAAGCUCUAUCAGCAGGGAAGAAGACGACGGUACCUGACUAAGAAGCCCCGGCUAACUACGUGCCAGCAGCCGCGGUAAUACGUAGGGGGCAAGCGUUAUCCGGAUUUACUGGGUGUAAAGGGAGCGCAGACGGCGAUGCAAGUCUGAAGUGAAAACCUUGGGCUCAACCGAAGGAUUGCUUUGGAAACUGUAUGGCUCGAGUACCGGAGGGGUAAGCGGAAUUCCUGGUGUAGCGGUGAAAUGCGUAGAUAUCAGGAAGAACACCGGUGGCGAGGGCGGCUUACUGGACGGUAACUGACGUUGAGGCUCGAAAGCGUGGGGAGCAAAC
rnacentral:rRNA from 1 species